rnacentral:lncRNA from 1 species
CGCAGGCAUUUAUUUCCAAGGCACUGGCCUCUCUGGUGUCUGAAAAAUCCCAUGUUGUAACUGCAUCAGGGCCCUUAGCCCAUUCCUUAACUUCGGCCCUUAACUGAACAAAGUUCUUUACUUGUUCAUUGCAGUACUCAGGGCCAACCCUACUAGCAGAUAUCAGUAUCUCCUCAAAAAAUACGUGAAAUAUGAGAUUCAAAGCCAGGCAGCCAAUGCAAAGCGAAGCCUUAAUAGCGGUCAACAUUGUUACUCUAAUUAUUAUACCAUCAUCUCCCUCGAGUUCCAUCGAGUAUCCUUGGCAGGUGCAGCCCCGCGCCCAGGGCUCUCAGCGGUUUCCGAGGCCUCACGCGCUGGCUGGGCCGUUAAGAUCGGUUGGGGGCUCCCAGGCCGCGAGGCGCGCGGCCAGUUGGGAUGAAAAUGGCGGAUGAGGCCGGGCGCGGUGGCUCACGCCUGUGGUCCCAGCACUUUGGGAGGCCGAGGCGGGCGGAUCACAAGGUCAGGAGAUCCAGACCAUCCUGGUUAACACUGUGAAACCCCGUCUCUUCUAAAAAUACAAAAAAAAAUUAGCCAGGCGUGGUGGCGGGCGCUUGUAGUCCCAGCUACUCAGAAGGCUGAGGCAGGAGAAUGGCGUGAACCCGGGAGGCACAGCUUGCAGCGAGCCAAGAUGGCGCCGCUGCACUCCAGCCUGGGCGACAGAGCGAGACUCCAUCUCAAAAAAGAAAAGAAAAGAAAAGAAACCGGCGGACGAAGGAAGAGAUCCUCCUUCAGGCAGGGUAGGGAAGAACGGCACUCGGUGACCAGAGACCUUUUCCAGGACCAUGUCUUUGAAGCAUAUCUCAGCUCUUGUCUUCCGGAAGCGAUGGAGACAGAAUCCAGAAGCCUGAGAAGUUUCUGAGCUAUCUAAUUACCAAGUGCAGGGCACAGAGCCGUGAUGAGGGAGA